UUUCCGUAGGUGAACCUGCGGAAGGAUCAUUAACAAAUCAUCAUAGUGCUUCGGCACUAUAUACACCCCAAGCCUGGGAAGAGCAGCUGAUGCUGCUUGGAACGGCUUUGGUUGCGGUCCGCGAGGGCCGCCGGCUAGGGCGCCGCAAGGCAACCUGGCCACAUAGACGCUUGCUUGGUUUGACAGAGUUUAGUUGCAUCAUAACGAAUACAACUUUUAACAAUGGAUCUCUUGGCUCUU
rnacentral:misc_RNA from 1 species